CGUAGGGUGCGAGCGUUGUCCGGAAUUAUUGGGCGUAAAGAGCUCGUAGGCGGCCUGUCACGUCGGAUGUGAAAACCCGGGGCUCAACCCCGGGCCUGCAUCCGAUACGGGCAGGCUAGAGUAUGGUAGGGGAGAUCGGAAUUCCUGGUGUAGCGGUGAAAUGCGCAGAUAUCAGGAGGAACACCGGUGGCGAAGGCGGAUCUCUGGGCCAUUACUGACGCUGAGGAGCGAAAGCGUGGGGAGCGAACAGGAUU
rnacentral:rRNA from 1 species